UGGCGGCAGGCCUAACACAUGCAAGUCGAGCGGUAACAUUUCUAGCUUGCUAGAAGAUGACGAGCGGCGGACGGGUGUGUAACGCGUAGAAAUCUACCUAGUAGUGGGGGAUAGCCCAGAGAAAUUUGGAUUAAUACCGCAUACGCCCUACGGGGGAAAGCGGGGGAUCUUCGGACCUCGUGCUAUUAGAUGAGUCUGCGUCGGAUUAGCUUGUUGGUGAGGUAAUGGCUCACCAAGGCGACGAUCCGUAGCUGGUCUGAGAGGAUGACCAGCCACACUGGAACUGAGACACGGUCCAGACUCCUACGGGAGGCAGCAGUGGGGAAUAUUGCACAAUGGGCGCAAGCCUGAUGCAGCCAUGCCGCGUGUGUGGAGAAGGCCUUAGGGUUGUAAAGCACUUUCAGCAGUGAGGAAAGGGGUGUCGUUAAUAGCGCCAUCCUGUGACGUUAACUGCAGAAGAAGGACCGGCUAACUCCGUG
rnacentral:rRNA from 1 species